UGUGGGUGUGAUUAGAGACUGGAAGUGUAUAUCCAGAAAAAAAGGUUUCUUUGGAACGUGUGUAUCCUUAAAGGUUUUAAAGGAAAUCAAAGAAACAUCAAGAUCCAAGCAAGAAGGAGAUAAUAGGUGUUGAAGGGAUACAAGGGCCUUCACCAGUGUUUGAUGGGAAGCUCUUUGAUGACUGACGUGUCAAGAUGCAAGGAAUUUUUGGCCAGGAUGUUUCAAAAGUAAUAGAAGAUGGGUUGGCGGUCUUUCUGAUGGUGAGCAACGGCGCUGGCGGCGACCGGUUUCGGUGGAGGCGGCGGUGGAGAGGAUGUGAGGUGGAGAGGCGAUAAUAGUUCUCUCUCGUGCCUGAAGAGGAACAUGAAAAGAAGCCCAGACGACAAGGGUGGGAGGCUUUCGCCUCGCCCAGCGAUGGAUGCUUGAAGAUGCUAGUGACUUGGAGGUUGGUGGCCAUGGAUGUUGGCUUGCGAACUAGGGUUUAUGACAGGCGCAUUGUUAUCUUUUGAUUCUGUAGUUUGAUUUGCAGAUCUGGAAUUAGGUUUUUGGUAGUGUUCAGGGUUUCCCUGCAGGUGCAUCCAUGGAUGCCUUAAGAUGGUGGUGACAAGGUAAUGCGACAUCAUUCAUGGUGGCAUAGGGUUU
rnacentral:lncRNA from 1 species